UACGGGGGGGGCAAGCGUUGUCCGGAAUUAUUGGGCGUAAAGGGCUCGUAGGCGGUUUGUCGCGUCGGGAGUGAAAACACACAGCUUAACUGUGUGCUUGCUUCCGAUACGGGCAGACUAGAGGUAUGCAGGGGAGAACGGAAUUCCUGGUGUAGCGGUGAAAUGCGCAGAUAUCAGGAGGAACACCGGUGGCGAAGGCGGUUCUCUGGGCAUUACCUGACGCUGAGGAGCGAAAGUGUGGGGAGCGAACAGG
rnacentral:rRNA from 1 species